GAGAUCGAGAGAUGAAAGCAGGGACCGCAAGGCUUGCGCGAUUGGAGCGGCCGAUGGCGGAUUAGCUAGUUGGCGGGGUAAAAGCCCACCAAGGCGACGAUCCGUACUGGUUUGAGAGAACGAACAGCCACACUGGGACUGAACACGGCCCAGACUCCUACGGGAGGCAGCAGUGGGGAAUUUUGGACAAUGGGGGCAACCCUGAUCCAGCCAUGCCGCGUGUGUGAAGAAGGCCUUCGGGUUGUAAAGCACUUUCGGACGGAACGAAAUCGCACGGGUGAAUA
rnacentral:rRNA from 1 species